UUUAGGAUGAGCAGCAAUUUUUCCAUACUGUAAACCUGUCCAAACUGGCCAUUAAAAUUGUAAUAAGACAGUGAACUGCCAGAGUUGGUGGAGCAUCAGAUAAAAUAUCAUGCUGGGUUUUGAGUUCAAAUCUUGCCAAGGCCAGCUUUGUCUUAUAUUCUUCAAGGGUCCAUUAAAAAAAGUAGGAACCCAGGGCAGUUAAAGGAUCAUGUCUGUGGGGGAUGGUACCUUGUGGUAAUUGUUCCACCCCUUUGUGUUCUGACAGCAAUGUCUGUGACUGCAUUGGUGCCAAGAUGCAUCAAUACAAAUUGGUGGCCACAUCCUUGGAUGGACACCAGGAGCAUGAAUGGGAGAGACUUGUAUAUACGGACAACUGCCAGUCUUUGUCCAAGCACCUUGCUCUGACCAGCAACAUCUAUAUGUUGAGGAAGGGUCAUUGUUGACCAGAGUGGGUGCCCCCUACAUCGUUCAUUAAUUAUGCACAUGAUACUAAUUAAUUGUGCUUGAUAUUAACAUCUGCAUAAAUUUGGGUUUAAAGUAUGUAUUUGUUGUAGUUGUUGUUUUUGUUGUUGUUGCUGCUGCUUAGAUUCUGGGGUAGGGUACAUCCAAGUUUAGAUGCAAAUCAACUACAGUGCCAACUAAUUUACCACUUUUUGAGAUUUGACCAGAGUAUCCAGAGUAAGUAAUGGGGUGGAGUGGGUGGGAGUGGAGGGUAGCUGUGAAAUAUAUACACAUUGUUAACUGGUCGUUUCUUAUAAUUAAGACAAACUAAUUGAACUAAUGAGAUCAGUUAUUAAUAUAAUUUCAUGCUCAGAUCUUCUAAGAAUCUUAGUGUGUGUGUAUAUAUAUAUAUAUUUAUAUUUACACACUAGAUGAUUUGUAUGUAUGUAUAUAUGUAUAUGCAUACAUAUACACACCAGAUAAUGUGUUUGCAUGUAUGUUUUAUAAGAAAUAGUUUAUAUAUAUAUAUAUAUAUAUAUGAGAAAUAGAAUGUGUAUAUUGUAAAUGCUAGGCAUAACAGGUUUGGAUUAAAAUUCUAAAGACAAUUGAAAUAUUCUACAAACUCUCUCCUUUUUUCUUUCAAAGCAAAAGCUGUAAGAAAAGAAGAGGAAAUGGAGGGAAGGGCUGAAAAGGGGUUUCCUCUCAAUCCAUUGGGAACCAUUCUCAACUGCCCCGCCCCCCUCCCACUCUCAUCUGAAUUCUUCAGCAGUGUUUUUAUUUUUUUUCCAUUUUUUUUUUUCCCUUUUUAGUUACUAGGGCUUCUUAGUAUCUCAUCAGUUAUUUAAUUAGCAUGGGUUAAUUAGCGAACUAGGAAGAAUCCAGCCAAUCACUGGCGUUUUCCAUGACGCAUCCAUGUUUUGUGCCACUCACAUCUUCAUCCGCAUCUCUCGACACUCACCCUCACUCUCUCCCACUCGCUCCUCCAUCCCCCAACCCCACCACCCCCAACCUUCACACAACCUGUCGUGGGGGUGGGGGUGACACAGAGGAUGGGGGUAGGGUUUUUAGAAAAAAAAACCCCACAAAACACAAAACACCAACUUAAUUUCCAGAACCACAUUAUAUUUCCAUCUCUCAUAUUGUUAUAAUCACAAUGUGCUGACUGGAGCUGCGGUUGGUACUACUACUAAUACUACUACUACCACUACUACUACUACUACUGCCCCUCAUUAUUAUAUUCUGUGACAUUUUGUGUAAUGAACCUCUCCCCACCUCUUUCACCCACCAUUCCUUCUUGGUAUUCCAAAGACAGGACUGUAAUCACAUGGACUUAACACAAUCGGGCAAGCCAGACCAGAUCUGGACACCACUACAAAAUUUGGCCUUACAAUGUUUGGUGUGUCGGUCAUUUGUAGACUGUCCCUCCAAGAAAAAAAAAAACCUCGGCUGCCCUGUCACUGUGUAUGUUCAACUCAGGUCUAUAUAUAUAUGUAUAUAUAUAUAUAGACACACACAUAUCUAUAUGUAUAUAUAUAUAUGUAUAUAUAUAUAUAUAUGUAUAUAUAUAUUUAUGUAAGCCUGUAUAUACUUGGGUUGACAUGCACUGUCUCAAGUUGUCUUUAUUUCUAACGUUCACCACCACUACUACUACUAUUACUACUACUACUACAACUACUACUACUACAACUACUUCUACAGACAACGCCCCUAACCCAGUCUUCAGCAUGAUUGUGAUGGUGUGGAACAAACAGAACUAAUAAUUAACGAAGUGUUUCUCAAUUAAUAAACGUUGUAACUUAAU
rnacentral:lncRNA from 1 species